rnacentral:rRNA from 1 species
UACGGAGGGGNUUAGCGUUGUUCGGAAUUACUGGGCGUAAAGCGCGCGUAGGCGGACCAGAAAGUUGGGGGUGAAAUCCCGGGGCUCAACCCCGGAACGGCCUCCAAAACUCCUGGUCUUGAGUUCGAGAGAGGUGAGUGGAAUUCCGAGUGUAGAGGUGAAAUUCGUAGAUAUUCGGAGGAACACCAGUGGCGAAGGCGGCUCACUGGCUCGAUACUGACGCUGAGGUGCGAAAGUGUGGGGAGCAAANAGG